CAGCAGCGAAAUUACACGAGGGCUUUGGGUCUCUAACGAAUCUGCAGAAGUUGUGUAUUAUAGAAGCUGACUCUGAAGCGCUCAAAGAGCUUAUGAAGCUAAGGCAGUUAAGAAAGUUGAGCAUUAGGACUUUAAAAACUUUAGAGAAUGUCGGAGAGCUCUGAAACCCUGAAACCUUACGAAAACCCUAGUUUACUGAAAACAAUUCCACCGCCGUUAGCCGCAGAUCGUUCAACCAAAAAGGCUAGAUUUCGCAGCCAUGAAGUAGACGCAGAUAGUCCAAGCCCCCUCUCCUUCAAGGAUGCGCUUGUGCACCCAGAACAAUACAGAAGCUCUGAAGAUGCUGAGAUGGAAGAAGAAUGGGACCUGGAACCUGGAGAUGUCACCAUAGGAGAUGAUGGCACCAUGCCCACUAUCAAAUUCUCAAAACGAAUCCAAGAUAAAUUGAUUAAACCUUGGCAGAACUCUGUAGUGGUUAAGCUGCUGGGGAGAAACAUUGGGUAUAAAGUUUUGUGUAAUAGGUUGAAAGUUAUGUGGCAUCAGAUUCAUGACUUUUCGGUGAUUGAUCUUGAAAACAACUACUUUCUAAUUCGCCUUAAAUCACCAGAGGAUGCUGUAUAUGCAUUAACCGAAGGGCCAUGGGUUAUCUUUGGGCAUUAUUUAACAGUGCAGCCGUGGACACCUCAGUUUGACAGCACCACUACUGAUCUUGACUCUGCCAUUGUUUGGAUUAGGUUACCCGGCAUGGCUUUUCACUUAUAUGAUAAGAGGAUUUUGCGGAAGAUUGGUCAACUUGUGGGGAACGUUAUCAAGAUCGACUACCAUACUGCAUUGCGGGAGAGGGGAAAGUUUGCAAGAAUUGCAGUCCGCAUCUCUCUUUCUCAGCCUCUGCUAUCUCGUUUUAACAUUGAUGGGAAGAUACAGAAGGUUGAGUACGAAGGGUUGCCUAUCAUAUGUUAUCAAUGCGGAAAGUAUGGGCAUAAUAGUAUCGUCUGUCAAAGCAAGCAAAAAAUGAAUGAGGCCAAUAAUGGUUAUUCUGAGAACAUUAUACCAACUAAUUCGGCAGGGGAAAAAGAUGGUGCUGUCGACAUGACUACUGAAAAAAGUGAAAAGUUUGGACCAUGGAUGAUUGUGGCACGUAAAGGAAAACCCAAGUUCGUAGUGGAAAAGGAGAACACUACUGCUGCAGAGAGGAACCAGCGAAGUAAUAUACCAGUUACAUCUCGGUUUGAUGCCUUAGCCGAGGAUUUGAACACAAACAAUAUGGUGGAGAUUGCUGGAACUACCCCCAACCUUGAACCCUUACAACGACAACCUAAAUCCAUUACCGAUCACUUCCAUAAUCGGAAGAACCUGCCCCUGAAAAACCCUAACACUCUUAAACCUCAGAACCAACUCUCCAAAGGAAAACAAGUGGCUAAAUCACAGCACUCAGUAUUGAAACAAAAGUCUAUCACAGCCUCCACAUCCAUGCAUGCAAGCAUACGUCCCACCAACACAAGAAUCCUACCAUCCAGUUCAAAUGUCCCCAAUCCGAACCCUUCAAGCAUUCUACCUAGCCUCCCCCGAGAACCUAACUCCACGCUUGCAUUCACAACACUAGACCCCCAAAAUCAUACUGCUAUAACCUUUCCCAGAAAAACCAAUGAAACCGUAGGCAUCCCACCAGGUUUCCCAAGAAAACCAACAUCAGCCAAAUCUGAUCAGCAACCCCAUUCAACACAACCAAAUGAGUCUUCCGAAGCCAAGGAUGAAGGGGAUAGAAAAGCAGUGGAGGGACAUGCUGGUGAUCCGCAGUCUACAUUCGGUACUAAUGCGGAUGCCACCAUGUCUGAUGAUGACAAUUCCUUUGUCAAUGAAACCCCGGAAGUGUAUGGCGAAGCAGAGCUGGAGCUUUGUGCGUAACCCUCUCAUGCUCACCUUCCCUUUUAUAUGCGGUUUAUGACGAUAUCAGUAUUAUUCUGGAAUGUUCAAGGGGCGGGUUCCCCAUCCUUUCGAAGAAUUUUUGCUACAUUAGUUAAAAGCUAUAACCCUACAAUUGUUGUAAUCCUCGAGCCAAGAAUCAGCGGUAAGAAAGCAGAUGAUUUCAUCCGAAAAAGUGGCUUUGAUCGCUCUCAUCGUGUGGAGGCUACUGGUUUUUCCGGUGGUAUUUGGUUAUUGUGGAGGAAUUUUUUCGACGUCGAAAUCGCUUUCAAUCACUCUCAGUUUAUUCACCUAAAAAUCAGCGUCCAUAAUGUCAUCCAAUCUUGGGUCACUGCAGUCUAUGCGAGCCCAAAUUCAGCUGGACGUCGUGCCCUGUGGUAUCAUUUGAGUAACAUUGCGAAGUCGAUGCAUGAUCCUUGGAUUAUGGGGGGUGAUUUCAAUUCAAUCUUAUAUGCCGCGGAGAAACGUGGGGGCUCGGCGCUAAGCACUGGUAUUUGUCCCAUCUUUAAUUCAUGGUUUCAUGCUAAUAAUAUUGUUGACUUGCAGUUCAGUGGACCUAGAUACACAUGGACUCGCGGGAACCUUUCGAAGAGGUUGGACCGUGCUAUGAGUAAUCAGGAGUGGAUACUAAAAUUUGAUAACUAUUCGGUUACUCAUUUACCACGAGUUGAAUCUGACCACAGGCCGAUAUUGGUCCGUUUUGAACGUCAGUUUGGCUGUCUGGGGAGUGCUAAACCCUUUCGUUUCUUAGCGGCUUGGAUGACUGAUCACCGAUUUGGUGACUUUAUGCGGGAUAGUUGGCACAAGAAUCUUCCUUACUCGCAAGCAGCUUCUACUUUUACAAGUAAGGUGGUUAGUUGGAAUAGAGAGAUUUUUGGCAACAUAUUCAAACGAAAAAAGCAGCUGCUAGCUCGUAUUGGCGGGGUUCAAAAGGCCUUAGAGAAUAAACCCACUCGCAGUUUGUAUCGACUUGAAGCAAAGCUAAGACAGAAGUUGGAAGAAACUUUAUCCCAAGAGGAAUUAGUGUGGUUCCAGAAAUCCCGCAAAGAUUGGAUUAGUUAUGGAGAUCGAAACACCUCUUUCUUUCAACAGAAAACUAUUACACGGAGGGCUAGAAACCGAAUCAAUGCUAUUAAGAAUGAUAGAGAUAUUUGGCUGUACGACAAUAAUGACAUUAAGUCCCAUGCUGUGUCUUUUUUCUCCACUUUAUACAAGUCCGAUCAAGAACUCCAUCGCCCGUAUACUGUGCAAGGGUAUUUUCCUAGCAUUGAUCAAAAUAGGAUGUCAAUUCUUGAUAACUCGAUUGACAACGAGGAAAUUCGUCAGGCACUAUUCCAGAUGAGACCAUUCAAGGCACCUGGAAUUGAUGGUUUCCCUGCCGGUUUUUAUCAAACCCAGUGGCAAGUAGUUGGUGAUUCUUUCUGUUCCGGAAUAAAGGAUAUUUUCAAAUCCCACAAUGUCCCUAGUGAAAUUACUAAAACCCUUCUUGUUCUCAUCCCAAAGUCCGAGCAUCCUACUUCUUUUAAGAUGUAUCGCCCUAUCAGCCUUUGCACCGUAUUCUAUAAAACAGUGACUAAGAUUAUCGUCAACAGAUUGCAAGCCAUACUCCCUGACCUAAUUGGCCCUCAUCAGACAAGUUUUGUCCCUGGCCGUCACAUCACAGAAAACAUUAUCAUUGCUCAGGAAGUGAUCCAUUCCAUGCGACGCAAAAUGGGCAAAAAAGGGUUCAUGGCUAUCAAGGUUGACUUGGAAAAAGCUUAUGAUAGAUUGAGCUGGAAUUUUAUUUAUGAAACAUUAACGGAGUUAGCCUUGCCUAUUGGUCUUAUUCAAUUAAUAAUGGAGUGCAUUACUUCUGUUAGUAUGAAUAUCUUAUGGCAUGGUGAAUUAACGGAUGAUUUCUCUCCCAGUAGAGGGGUACGACAAGGUGAUCCUUUGUCACCAUAUAUUUUUGUCUCUGUAUUGAAAGAUUGAGUCAUGGGAUUUAUCAAUCAAUUCAUCAAGACCAUUGGAAGCCUAUCCGCUUAUCUAGGCUGGGUACCCCCUUAAGCCAUCUUUUUUUCGCGGAUGAUCUUCUCCUUUUUGCCGAAGCUACCAAUGGGCAAGCACAGUGCAUUAAUUCAGUCUUAGGAGAUUUUUGCUUGAGCUCGGGCGCAAAGGUUAGUCAAUCUAAGACACAUGUUUAUUUCUCUAAAAAUAUCCCAGAUGUUGUUGCCGCGAGAAUAGGGCGAGCUUUGGGGUAUACAGUAACGAAGGACUUGGGUAAGUAUUUGGGCAUGCCUUUGCUACAUAGUCGUGUCUCACAGCAAACAUAUCAAGGGAUUUUAGAUAAGACGGACCAAAAGCUUUCUGGUUGGGCAGCCUCUCAGCUUUCUCUUGCCGGGCGUAUCACUCUUACCCAAUCUGUCCUUCAAGCAGUCCCUAUCUAUGCUAUGCAAACUACCAAUUUACCGGGUAGUAUUAAGACUAAGCUUGAUCAAAUUUGUAGACGAUUUUUGUGGAGUGGAAAUGAUGAAUUACGGAAAAUGAGCCUAGUUAGUUGGCAUAACAUUUGUCAACCAAAAAUGGCAGGCGGUCUCGGGUUCAAAAGGUUGAAUGUCAUGAAUGAAGCACUGCUUUUGAAGAUUGCUUGGCAUUUAAUCACUGAGCCUGACAAACUGUGUGUCUAGGUGCUUUCCACAAAAUAUGGAGUUCCUCCAUCGGAAAUCCCUCAUACUUUACCUACUCGGUACGGAUCGCAUUUAUGGAAAUCUGUUGGUCGAGUUUGGGAUUAUGCUAGGCUCGGGAUUCGCUGGAAUAUUGGUAAUGGGUUGAAAGUUAAAUUUUGGUGGGACUGUUGGGCAACGGCAUCUCUCACUCUUGCGGAUUUAGCCAUACAACCGAUAACUCCUGACCUUUCUGAUCUGUAUGUUGCAGACUUUGUUUCCACAGAUGGGUCCUGGAAUUGGCCAAAGUUUAGUCACAUCUUACCCCAUCAGGCAAUAAUGAUAAUUGCCUCAAUCCACCCCCCGUCAGCUUGCAAUGGUGUGGAUCACGUUUAUUGGGCAGCAUCACCUCAAGGAGACUUUACGGUGAAAUCAGCAUAUGAUUUGUUAGAUCAAUCUCGUGUGCAGGAAAGGGACUCUUACUGGAAGAUAGCCUGGUCAUGGAAGGGCCCGCAGAGUAUCAAGAUUUUUAUUUGGCUGGUGUUGCACAAUAGAUUAAAGACUCGGGCAGAACUAGCAACACGACGCUUGAACAUUGAACCAUCUUGUGAAAGGUGUGGGGCUGGUUUAGAGAAUACAAUUCAUGUGCUCCGUGACUGUCCCUAUUCGAAAGCUGUUUGGCUACGUCUUCUCCGAGGGAACAAUCACCAAUAUUUCUUCCAGUCUAAUCUUGCCGACUGGAUGUCUGCGAACUUGCAAGUCCAGAGCACUUCAGUAGGUAAUAAACUUUGGCGAGUCAUCUUUGGUGUUGCCAUUUGGCGGCUCUGGUUUUGGAGAAAUCGAUUUAUUUUCACCAAAGAUCACUGGGAGAGUAGUGCUAUAGCAUUAGAUAUAAAAGUACGGGCAGCUGAAAUUCAACGAUGCAAUUCUUCCCUUACUGCCACUGUCAAGAGCCGUGUCGAAAAAUGGAUUCGCUGGGGUGCUCCUACCUGGCCUUGGGUCAAGUUGAACACUGACGGUGCCAAGAAGCCUUCAGGCCAUGCAGGAGCUGGCGGUCUCAUUCGUGAUUACAGAGGAGUUUGGCAGAUCAGUUAUUGUGCUAACUUAGGUUGUUGCUCAGUAACAUCUGCUGAGUUGUGGGGUUUAUUUCAUGGGUUAUCCAUAGCUUGGCUUCAUGGUUAUCGUAGGGUGAUAGUGGAAGUGGACAGCAGGUGCAUCUUGCAGCUAGUCUCUAAUUCGAACCCCACCAUCAAUGAGCAUCUUUCUCUAAUCACAGCCAUCCAAGAGCUAAUCGGACGAGAUUGGUUGAUUCAAAUGAAUCAUAUUUAUCGAGAAGCAAAUGCAGCAGCAGACUUUCUUGCUACCUAUAGUUUAGUUUUUCCUGUGGGUCUGCAUUAUUUUCAGUCCCCUCCUUUAAAUUUGCUUACCAUUUUAAACAAUGAUGUUUCUGGGGUUGCACACUCCCGUUUAGUGUUGCUUUAGCUCUGUUCAGAGCCCUUUAUUAAUAAAAAAAAAAAAAAAAAGUUGAGCAUUAGGCCCCCAAAUGGAAAUGGCAAGGAUCUGUGUGGUUUGAUUGCAAAUUUCGAAAACCUAGAGAAUUUAGCAGUAAUCAUGAAAAGCAAAGAAGAAGUACUUGCCUUGCAAUCUUUGAGUAAUCCUCCUCAAUAUCUGCAGCGUCUCUACUUGAAAGGGAAUAUGAACAAACUGCCGGAUUGGAUUUUUAAACUAAAAAAUGUAAUCAGAUUGGGUUUGGACUUGUCGGGAUUGACUGAGGAGCCAAUCAGAGUCCUUCAAGCCUUGCCUAAUUUAUUGGAUCUUUUACUCAUAGGGACAUACAACUACGAGCUUUUUCACUUUGAAGCAGGUUGGUUUCCAAAACUCCAAAUAUUGAAUCUCUUUGACUUCGUCGCUGUGAAAUCGGUUAUAAUAGAGAAAGGUGCGAUGCCUGAUAUUAGAGAAAUGUGGAUUGGGCCUUGCCCAUUGUUGAUGGAGAUUCCUAUUGGAAUUGAACAUCUUAAAAACCUUAAGCUACUCAGAUUUGCUCGUAUGGUUAAACAAGUUUAUUACAUGACAAAAGACGAGAACUGGGGGAAGGUUACUGAGCAUAUACCAGAUGUCCUUGUCACUUUUGUGAAAGCCGAGAAAUUGUUUUAUUAUCGAAAAGAGGAUCUCUCAUCUCUGUCUCCUGAAUAUGUCGAGCAAAUCUGCUGAAGAAGAGGACUCGAGUCCGGAGCAGUCAUGCACAUCUAUGAAAUAAGUAAACAGGUCUGCCACUCUCCUGCGUAUUUGGAUUAUUUUCUAAUUACUUUUAAGAAAAAAUAUUUUCUCAUUUUUAAUUUGACAGACAAUUUAAUUAUAUAUAAUUCAAAUAAAAAUUCACCAAGAAAAUUCCUUUUUCCCUGUAAUUUGAGUACGUUUAAUAAAUAAAUAAACAAAUGCAGUAGGUCAGUAAAUCUUUUUCUAGUCAAAUAUAUAGUUAGAAUCAUAUAAUGAUUAGGUAUUAAUGUUAGUAUAGUAAUUUCCGUUAUAUUUUUUGUUACCAUGAACAGAUGGAGUAUAUAUAUCUUCCUUCUAGCGAAUUCAUUGAUGAGUUCAUCAAACCUAUACUGGAUCAGAUUGUGGCGGUAAUGCUGCUAUUGAUAUGCUUUGAGUUUCGGUAAUUAUUAUCAGUGUUAAUUAAUAUCUAAGACUGAGAUUAUGAUUUUAGAAAUGUUGUAUUACUAUUGUAAGGAAUUGUCAUCAUAUAAUAUUCAGUGUUUAAUAAUAAAAACUGUGUGCCAAUGUGGUUACCAUUGGUAUAUGGUUAAUUUGUGUGGAAUGAUGCAUUUGCCUUAAUUGUAGUCUGUAGCUUAUUGUUUUCACAUAACAAUUUAGCAAAAAUUUGUAUCACAUGCAUUUCCAUAUUGUCAAGUUUAAUUUACUCUUCAUUUGCAUAAUUGUGCUUAUUAUUUUGUGACAUCUAUCUGAAUUAGUCUGCAACUUUCAUUGAAUUUAUUUAUUUUAUUUUAUUUAAGAAGUAUGUGAAACCAUUAUUCUAAAAAUUAAAUGCAUAUUUAAGAUUGCGGUUAAUGAAUUUUCAAACAAUCACUUAUUUAAAAAAAAAAAUUACUCAAUCAUAUUUGAGUUGACAAUUUAUUUUAAGUAAACAUAUAUAAUUUUUGAACUAGAUACACUCACAAUCAUCAAAUAAUUGAUUUUCAAAUAUAAUUUGAGAAUAAAAUCCAUGUGGAUUGCAGCAGAGAAAGUCUAUAAUUGGGUUCUGGGACUGGGGAAUUAAACUUACUAAGCCAUGCUACUAUUCUUGGGGAAAAAAUAGUGGCAAUACCGCAGUAGUUAGGGUUAAAAGGUAAAGAAUACAAAGAAACUAUAUAAAAAAAGCAUAGGUCACUCUAAAUUUACAAUCAAAUAAAAGAGAAAUUUUAUUUAAAAAAAAAAAAAAGUAUUGGUGACUCUAAAGUUAGAAAAUUACAGAUGAUUGCGAUUGAAUUAGUAAUUUUGCUUUUGAAAUUGCUUUAAGUUGCUCAAUAAAUGGUCCUGCGGAGGCUCACUCCUUAUAAUCUAUAUGUUAGAUCAAAGUGUUUGUUUUUGCGUGAAUCAAAGAGAAAGAUUGCUAGAAAUUUCUUUUUCUUUAUUUUUUCAUGUCAUAAAUACACGAGAGCCGAAACAAUGUUGAGUCUCUUCACAAUAAAAACAAUUUUUAUACAUCUUUUCCUUCAACUUUAUGAUAUUCAAUGGACAUAGUCCUUAUUAUAGUCCUAACCUGCCCCUUUAUUAAUUAUUAGUCAAGAAAAUUGUGGGCCUUAAAUGAUAAGAUGCUUACUUUUUAACUCCAUUAUAUCACAAUUGUACAGAAACGCACCCAAUGCAUGCACCACACCUGUCCUGCAUAUGGAGAAAAAGCAUGCAAUUGUUUUUGUUUGGUAGCUAGCUAACCAAUCAGGAGCUGGCUAAGUUGGAUCUGUAUGUUACAGAAUCCGUAACUUAGCCAGCUCCCAAUUGUAUAUUGUCCGACUUAAAACAUGAUUAUUAAAACAGAUUUAAGUAAAUUUUAAAAAAGGCCAUUAAAAGAAAUUGUAACCGCUGCUCAUCAAUAAAAACCCAUCUUGGUUGGAAGAAUUUCAGAAAAAAUACAGAUGGUAUUUGAUUUGAAUUUGAAAAGGAAACUUAAUUAAGGAAACUAACAAAUAAGAAAACACAAAUCCUUACGUAAACAAAUGAAAAAACAAAAACACAAACGACCACACAUACAUGGGCCGGGCCGGGCCGUGCCGUUCCCUUGGACAUGACAACACGACCCUCCAAUAAUUUCAAUCUCUUUAUCAUUGUUCCCAAAACAUCGUUCCAAACUUUUCCUGCAUUAAAAGUCAUGAAGAUAAUUUAUUAAUUUGAUCAAACAGUAAGGUUAAUUAUGUCAUUGUAUAUUUGUGGGUCAAGUGAAGUGAAGCAUUUUCUUCUAUAUUGAUCAUUUCCCAUGCAAACGUACAGCAAACUUUUCAGCACUUUAAUCUCACCGUUGAGUGUUAAAACUCCCUCUGUAUUCAACACACCGACCCUUCAAUCUUGUGUCAAUAUUACAGUUUACAGGCCACAUAAUUUAUUUGAUUAUGUUACAAAGACUUACAAAUUGUUCGUUAUAAUUUUCAAUUUUUUUUUUGAGAGAAUAUGAUUUUCAACUUAUUUGUUACACUUUUUAAUUUUGUAAUUUGCAUUAUAAAACACAAAUUCGUAAAUCUAACAAGAAAAAUUGAGAAAUGCAACAAAAAAUGUUAAGACUAUUUGCAAAAAUUUGUUACUAAUAAAAAAAAAUUGUUACGAACAUACAAUAGUUAUGAGAUAUCAUUUUUCUUAGUUUCUUUUUUUAAUUUUUUUAAAGUAUGAGAUGAAAUGUAUAUUUGUGUUAAACUCCCUCUGUAUGCAGUGGCGGAUCUAGAAAAAUAAUUUACCGGGGGCUGAAUUAAAUAACAACAAAAUGUAAAAACUGAAAUUUGAAUAUAUAAAUUUUUUUAUAACACAUUUACAAUUGUUCUCUAUGCGAUUUUAUAUUAUGAAAACGUUGUGCAAUUGACUUAUUAUCAACAUUAUUAAAUACAUAUUUUUCUACAUAAACAAUAAAAUUAUUAUUCAUCCAUUCAUCUCUCAUUCGAUUCUGAAGUUCAUUCUUCACAAAUUUCAUUGCUGAAAAUGUUCUCUUUAUUGUGGUUAUAAAAACUGAAAGAACUUUAUUGUGGUUAUAGAAACUGAAAGAACGGAACUUUUUGAUAGUUUGAUAGAGAUUAUUUAAAAAUUUAUUAAUUUUUCUUUUAAACAAAAAAGGUUUUUUUUUUUUCAGUGGGGGCUCAAGCCCCCACUAGUCCUACACUACAUCCGCCCCUGUCUGUAUUCAAACGUAUGGCUGUUGGAGAAGAAGAGAAAAGAGAAAUGAGUUUUACAGAAAAAGAUGAAGAAGAAGAUAAAUGGACAAUGCAUUAUUCAUCAAUGCAUCAAAGACUGUUGGUGGGUAAAAGAGAUUUCUCGUUUUAUUUUGUUUUAUCGCAGAAAUUUGGCUCUGCUUCUAACAUCUGGGCUUCUUCUCUUAAUUCUUAUGGUAAUUCAUUCAUUUCUCUAAUCUCUUUCUCUUCUCUUACAUCUUUUUUUUCUUUAAAUUUUCAUUUUACCAUAUGAUGUGGCAAAAAUUACCUUGUUUAUAGAUCUUUAUCCUCAAUUUGAUGUUAAAUUGUCACUUAAUUUGAUGUGUAACUGUAAAGAAAUGAUCAAUUUUACAGGAAAAUAGUAAAAUAACCAGAAAAACCAGGAAAACAUAUUAUUAAUGCCUCUUUUUUUUUAAUAAUUGGAUUUCAUAUGAUGGGAGGCCAAAAUGACCCUGUUUACAAAUUUUUAUCUUCAAUUUGAACUGUUUUACUUCAAAACUGGAACUAUUAAAUAAGAGUCGGAAUUAGUACAAAAGUUAAAUAUAACAGCUCGGUCUUCUUUAUAAGGUGGACAUCAUUUCAAAGUUACAUGUAUUUAGGGGCGAAGCUACUUUUUUCAAGCUGGUGGUUAGACUAAUUUUUUUAAGUUAAAAAAAAAAAAGAAUCUUGAAGUAAAGCUAUUGAAUUAAACCAUAACAAUAAGUUCACAUUUUUUAGGUUUUAAAAAUAUUUUGUGAAUUAUGUUUAUUUAAAAAUAAAAAUUGUCAAACUUCAAAAUUGUGACUACAAUACUCCAUGAGUGCCAUACUCAACUGUGACUACAAUACUCCAUGAGUGCCAUACUUCACAACUUGGCUUUUUUAUAAUUAGUUUACUUGAGACCAAAAAUAGAUUUCUAAAAUGAGAUGGAGUGGGGAAGAAGUUGGGAAAAAUGACCGUGAGCUUGAACGAUAAACUUGUAAAUUAGGUUGUGGUGUUUUGUUAAAAAUAACAGUGGUAGCUAGUUCUAUAAAUUCUGCAUGGUAAUUUUGUGAACAACAUAGAAAAAAAAUAAAAAACUAAAUUAUUAUUAUUAUUAUUAUUAUUAUUAUUAUUUUGUUGGCGUAUCUUGCUUAUUUCGAAGUGAACAUAAAUUGUAUAUUUGGAUGGACUAGAAAUUGUGAUUCAUAAAUUCAAGGAGGCACGGUCAAACUUGGACACCCUAAAGAAGCUAGGAGCAUCCAUUCUCCAUGGAGUUGAUGCAACUGAAAUGAAGGAACAUCCUCAAUUUAGCAAGCGGAAGUUCGAUAGAAUAAUCUUCAAGACUUCAACUUUCCCAUUGCCUGCUUUCAUGGAAAGGAAGAAGAUGACGAAGUUAUUCGUGAGCUGCCUGGUGAGUCCAUUGGACAUAUGUGUCAAUAUAUGUUAGGAAAUUGAUGGGUGACGUAGGACCGCAACUAAAAUAAAAUUGGAAGAAAAUAAAGAACAAGCACAAAGUGGAUACCAAGAAAUUACGUGGUUCGGCUUUUAGCCUACGUCCAUGGGCGAAGACAGAAGGAAAAUAUUAUAUUAGUGAUAUGAGGAUUACAAGUAUUGUAAUCUUUUGGCUCACUACCCAGAACUCCAAUAUACCCAAUCUCUCACUCACUAAUUACACUAGAGUAAUAAAUAUUGAAAACAAAUGCUUAUAAAGAUAAACUUAUUUUUCUCUCUUUUAUAAGUUCUCAGAUGCACUCAAAAUGGAUGCAAAACUCAUUUACAUGACUCCCUUUAUAUAGCCAAUUGUUGGCUAACAAAUUCCAUAAGUUAAGUUUGACAGCCACCUAACUCAACCAUCUCCAUUUCAUUUUGUCCAUGGUCGGCAAUCACCAAAUCAAAAUGUCAAUGUCGGCACCCAUUUUUCUUCAUUUUCUUUCCUUUUUUCUUCUUCCUCUUUUGUCUUCUUUCUUCUUUUCUUUGCUUUUUGGUGGAUCCUUGACAAUAUAGUGCAGUUAAAAAUGGUUAUAAUACGAGGGAACUUGACAUAUAAAGUGAUCCAUAUUUCUUAAUAAUUCAAGAUGCAUGUAGUGUUCAGGAGUUUGCAGUGAUAUUUCCACUUCACCAAUUCUUAAAGUGAAAAUUAAUGAUUGGAUGCUGAGAAAAUGAAAGAAACUUUAAGAAUCUUGAAAGAGAAUUAAAACUAGAUCUGAGAAGUUUCUAGUUAAUCACAUUUCAUUCAACAUGCACAAAAUGUGCUCAAGUCUGGUAUUUAUACAGAGCAAAUGCACGGACUAGAAUAUUCUAACUGACUACAAUUUAACUAUUGACUAUAACUAAUUAUAACAAACUAAUUAGCGCAUGCUUUAGCUACUAUAUAACUAUCGAAUGCCAGCUGGCUUCCACAUCAUCAUAUAUGUACACUGCACGUACUGGAAUCCUCUGCUUUGCUGAUCAUGCUGCUUACAUGAGCUUCCUUAAUACUUAAAAAGUUGGCUCCUACACUAGUUCCAUGAUCUUUCUUCUGGUAAUUAUCACAGAAUGAAUAUGAGCCUUGUGGAAGGUUUCUUAAGAAAUGCAAGUAGUAUGUUAAGGCCUGAUGGUGAAAUUCAUGUAAGCCACAAAACAACAGCUCCAUUUUGCAAAUGGCAUAUCGAGGAACUCGCUAGCAAACACUCUUUGUCAAGACUGGACUGUGUCCAAUUUAGAAAAAAAGACGACCCAGGUCACAACAACAAGAAAGGAGCUGGUUCGCAAUGCGAUGACUAUUUUCCCUUGGGAUAGUGCAGUACCUUCAAAUUUGGAUUCUAUCGUGCUCUCAAGAGGUCUAAAUGAAUGAGUUAUGGUGGAUUUGCUAUCAAAAGACCUAAGGCUGUUCAAGAGAUUCCAAUCGAAGCGCCCAAGCUUGAAACGGAUCCAUUUGACUGGAGAUAUACUAAUGCAAGGUCAGCUACUGAUAUGAAUGAAUUUCCAUUGCGUGUGAAGUUUUGAUAGUAGCUGGUUGGGUUACUCUGUUCCAAGCUUUACCAGAAAUAUGACUGAUGGUCCAGGAUAUUAGAGACAAGCUUUGAUGAGUAAUGCCACGUUCCAUAAUGGCUGCUUUAAUACUCCCAACACGACGCUUAGAACAGUUGCUGACGACGUGGGCUAUGUUGUUCCCGAAUCACCAAUUCCAUAUGAAGGAUAUAACACGGAAGUAGCAGGAUUCCAAAGAGAAAAUGCUGGGAGUUAUGAUAAAGCAGUGCGACCAGGAAGAACCUUAAACGGAUUUUUGUAUCCUAUGGAGGGACGUGACUGUGAGGGAACUUUGAGACCAGCACAGCCGCCAAGGAUGAGGUUAGGAUUUAGUCACCAGCUGCUUUAAGGGAGAACGCGGUGCUAUUAUGCUUUCGUGGAACAUUGAGCGACUUUUUGUCUUUAGUCGUGAAUUCUAGCUAGUUAAGCAUAUAUAGGUACCGCAGUGUAGGUAAAAAGUUUUGGUUUGCUUUCAUUUGUGUUUGUCUUAAAAAUUAAGAAUUUCAGCAAUCUGUUGGUGUGUUGCAUGGUGCUGUCAAUCUCCUAUUUGCAAAGAACUCGAUCUGUUUCCUGUUGAUAGAACUAAAUUUAGGUUAACAUGCAAGAUCGAUGAACUCAUCAAUGCAUUCACCGCAAGGAAGAUACUCCUCCAUCGGUCAAUUAAGACUUGCAAAUUAUAGUAAUGCUACAAUUAAUAUACUUUUAUCAGUGUUAUUAUGUAAUAUAUGCUUAUGUGAGUAGUUGCUGCUGUGAGUUAGUGUAAUCUUUGUAUAUCUAAGACAAUAAUUUUAGAAUUGUUGUAAUUCUAUUGUCAUCAUAUCGUAAUCAGGUUUUAAUUUUAAAAAAAAAAUUGUGUCCCAAUGUGAUUACCUCUGCUGUAUGUUAACUUAUGCGGAAUGAUGCAUGCCUUAAUUAUGUUUGAGUUUUCAAAUUAUUUUAAUCAAACAUGUGCACUUGAUAAGAAUUGUCCUUAGUUUUAGAUUCGAUACACUAGCAAUCAUCAAGUAAUUGAUUAUCACAUAUAAUUUGGAAGUAGGAUCCAGUACAAUUGAUAAAUAGGACAAUCUCAAACACGUACUAAGGAGUUGUUUGUUUUUUGUUUAAAGUCUAAAUUUUACUUAUUUUCAGACAUUUAUUGUUUUUAAUUUAUUAGUUUUCUAUCACUUAUGUCUGGUUAUAAGAUGCUUACGUCUGAAUUAAAAAAGUUAAAUAUUUUAACUUUUAUCUAAAUGGUAAAACAUCUAAAUAUAACUUUAAUAUUCUCUCUUAUUAUUACCCCAUUUAAAUGAAUUUAUUUCCUAUUAUAUAGAUUAUUCUUUUAUUAUUUUUUUAAUUUAUCUUUUUUUUUUGGUUAUAUGUGCCUAUUCAACUUUUCCUUUGAAUGAGAAUUUUAACAUAAUAAUAUUGUUAGGUGAGUGCGUUUUAUAACAGAUCCAUCUUUUUAUAUUUAUAUUUACUGUUCUUAUAAUGGAUUUUGAAUUUUGUUAAAUACAUUAAUUUUAAUUCAAAUGAUUAAACAAUUCUUAAUUGACUUUUGUAAUUAAUAAGAAUAUAAACCUAAAAUACCAAAAAGAACAUUAUAAGUAUCAUAUAUUAAUGUAACAAAAUACAUAUGUUAUGUUGAAUUUAUAAAAUACUCAACCAUAGGAGUUCGGAAGGAAUCGUUUUCAUUUUAUAUAAUUAUCGCAUUUGUAACUUAGCCAGGAAGCUUUGUGUGUACUGAUUGCCUCUAGAUUGUAAAUUCAAUUGAUCUCGUCUUGGUUGAAGUAGAUGAUAGUAAAUAAUAUCUGAGUUUCAUUUCAGAUUCCAAAAACAAUCCUCCAUGUGAAUGGUUAAGUAGAGAUUCACAUUACUUUCUUUUUUCUUUAGAGGAAUGGCUGACUCCUUUGAUCAUGAAAUUAUAUCACGACUAUCACAAAAACUCGAGUAAUUCUAUUCAUAUAAUCAAAAUAGAGUUGAGUUCGAGCUCCUUCAUUUUAACUGAUUUAUUAUAAUGCAUAACCACAAAUGAUGAGAUGGUGUUGGAUAUGAUAAUGGGAAUUAGUUGUCAACGAGAAAAUUAAUUUCGGAAGAAUACAGUUAGUCGCAGAACUCUCCUAGUCCUUGGAAGUAAUUUAAAGGAAAGGUGUAUCAAUUUGUUUGUGUAGCUUACUGUGUGGUUAGAGAGUUUCGUGCUCUUGGUCUUUUGAGCUUUCUUACUCUUGAUUCUAUAGACCUGCGCCCAACAUUUAUCAAGGUUUGGUUUUCUUUAUUUUUUGCUCUUUUUGUGGCUUUUUUGUUUUUGUUCUCGUUUGUUUGUUUUUUUUUUGCGUUUAGGGCUCUUUGGCCAUAAAUUAUCACAAAAGACAAGUCUUCUCUGGUCUCCGGGAAGAGAAACGGAAAUUGCAAAAAGUUUUGAUGACUUUUUGUGCAAUCUCGGACCCAAUAAGGGACCAAAAAAAAGUUGAACACUUUUUGUUGUUUUCUAAUUGAGUUCUGUUAUUUGAACUGAGAGAAGAGAAGGAAGACAUAAAUGAUUUAAUUAACCAAUAAAAUAUGGGCCCACAAUAAGUUUAAAAAAGAGCACGUGAAUAGAGUUCUGUUCUUUUUUUUUUUUUUUCCUUGGACAAGGGUUUUAACUUUUAACGUGAGGAUCUAAAAUGGCAGAGCACUCUCUUCAAAUCAGAUGAGGUUGCUAACUCUGAAGAGAGUGCUAGUGCCUACCUCACUUAUUCAAUGACUAAUUUCAAUCGUUAGAUUUACCAACUUUUCAUCGAACGGCUCUUUAGAAUAAUGAUAAAAAAUAUGGAAAGGUAUCCCACUGAUUAAUGAAAACGGCAGAGCACUGGGCUGCCACAACAAUAAGUUUAAGAGGGCGCUGGGCACCACAGCAGAGCUUCCCCAAUGAAAGCUCGCCACUCAUUAAGCUACUCCAGAUAUACACGGCUGCAAAAACAAACAAAUCAACUUGCAAUAAAAUAAAUAUUAAAAUAAACUGAAAAAAGCUCAAAUGCCGACAAAUUCCACUUUGCUUCAAAAUUAACUUUAUAGUAAGUACGAAGAAUAAAAUAUAAACAAUCAACUUGCAAGUUGAAAAUUCUGCAUUCUUAAACCAAUGUUCAAACAGUCUAUGCAGAAGCAUCGAUCUGCUUUGUAAAUUAGACCUGCUGGCGUGAUAUGGCGGAGGCUGUGGUGAACUUUGCUCUAGAGACCUUGGGUCCUUUGCUUGUCGAAGAAAUCAGAUUGUGGGGAGGUGUUAGAAAAGAAGUUCAAAGUAUCAAAAGCGAACUGGAGAGUCUCAGAUCUUUCCUCAAGGACGCGGAUGCAAGGGCAGCAGUCGAAGAGUUAGAAGGAGGCGGUGAGGAAAGUGUCAGAACUUGGGUGAAACAACUGAGGGAUGAAGCUUAUCGCAUUGAAGAUGUGAUCGACGAGUACACACUCAUGGUGGCAAAGCUCCCUCCCGGGAGUGGUCUCGUUGGUGUUCUCCAUAGAAUCAGUCGUUUCAUAAAGAAGCUGAAGCUGCGGCGUGGAGUUGCUACUGAGAUUCAAGAUAUCAAAUCAGCGCUUGCUGAUAUAAAGGGAAGGGGAGAAAGAUAUCGAUUCAGAUCUAUUGAUGAACCAUCGAGCAGUGGAACCAGAAAUGUUAUCCCACAUGACUCUCGAGUUGGUUCCUUUUUCGUUGAAGAUGAUGAAGUUGUGGGCAUCGAAUCCAUUAAAGAUAAAUUGAUUGAUUUGAUGGUGAACGGAAGAUCCGAACGUUCAGUGGUUGCUGUGGUGGGUGAAGGAGGACUAGGUAAGACCACUCUUGCCGGAAAACUUUUUAACAAUGAAGGUUUAAAAACUCACUUCAGUAGCCGGGCUUGGGUCACCGUUGGGAAAGAAUACAACAAAAAUGAUUUGUUGAGGACAGUUAUAAAGGAGUUUCACAGUUUCUCAGGGCAGCCUACUCCAGUCGAGAUACACAAAAUGGAAGAGAUGGAGCUGAUCACCACGCUGAGGGGCCACUUGAAGGACAAGAAUUACGUGGUUGUGUUCGACGAUGUUUGGAAGAUUGAUUUUUUGGGAGACGUGGAGCAUGCUUUACUCGAUAACAAGAAAAGCAGCAGGAUAAUUGUCACAACACGGCACAUGAAUGUAGCUAAGUUUUGCAAAUCAUCUUCCCCUGUUCAGGUCCAUGAGCUUGAAACUUUGCAUCCGAAUGAAGCGUGGAAACUUUUUUGUAGAAAGGUGUUCGGACCAAGCUCCGGAGGCUCUUGUCCUUCAGAGUUGAGGGAGUUGUCCCAGGACAUCCUUGCAAAAUGUGGAGGUUUGCCUCUUGCUAUUGUGGCAGUAGGUGGACUUCUUUCAACCAAGAACAGGGUUGUAUCUGAAUGGAAGAAAUUGUUUGAUAGGUUGGGCUUAAUGUUAGGAAGCGAUCCCCAUCUAAAAGAUUGCAACCGAGUUUUAUCUGAAGGGUAUUAUGAUCUUCCUCACCAUCUCAAAUCAUGUCUUCUGUACUUUGGCUUAUUUUCAGAGAGCUGCAAAAUCAACUGUGCUAGACUCAUCCGUUUGUGGAUAGCUGAGGGCUUUGUCCAGUACAGCAAACGCCCCACAUCUGAACAGGUUGCAGAAGAAUACUUGAAUGAGCUCGUUGACAGAAGCUUGGUUCAAGUUUCAGAGAGAGAUAUUUCUGGACGAGCUAGAAUCUGCCAAGUUCAUGAUCUUAUGCACGAGAUCAUCAUCAGCAAAACUGAAGAAUUCGGCUUUGGUCGUGUGCUGAACGGAGAGGACUUGAGUCGCUGCAGUAAAACUCGACGCAUUACUAUGCAGAGAAGUAUUGAUGAUGGUGCUUUAGUGAGCAUCAAGGACUCGAAGGUCCGUUCUGUUUUUCUGUUCAAUAUAGAUAAGCUGCCCGACUCUUUCAUGAAUGCAAGUAUUGCCAAUUUCAAGCUCAUGAAAGUACUAGAUCUGGAAGAUGCUCCUAUAGUUUACCUUCCUGAAGGAGUGGGAAACUUACUCAAUUUACACUACUUGAGUUUGAGAAAUACAAAAGUAGAAAUAAUUCCCAAGUCCAUUGGAAAUCUUCUCAGUUUAGAGACUUUGAAUAUGAAAAAUACUUUGGUGAGAGAACUUCCAGUAGAGAUCAGGAAUCUUAAAAGGUUACGUUAUCUAAUGGUGUAUCAGUACAAUUAUACCGCAGGUUUUGCAGUAGCAGGAGAAGCAGCAGCGAAAUUACACGAGGGCUUUGGGUCUCUAACGAAUCUGCAGAAGUUGUGUAUUAUAGAAGCUGACUCUGAAGUAGGGAUGGCAGUGGGGUGGGGUGGGGGUGGGGAGGCCUGCCCCAUUCCCCACCCUAUUAGAAAUUUUUACCUCCAUUCCCCAUCUUAUUUCUCAAUAAAUUUAGUGGGGUGGGGAUGGAGAAUCUCCACGUGGGGAAUGAUUUCCCCAUCCCCACCCCAUUUCCCAUUUAUCUAUUUUAUAAUAUGUAUAAAUAUAUUAUUUUAGUAAGUUAAAAAUUAAAUAAAAUCAUCAUCAUAUUAUAAAGUAUUUAAAUUCUUUUUAAAAAAUAUCUAAAAGUUUGAAACAAUAUCUUAAAAUGAUAUUAAAAGUGAAAAAUAUUUAAAGAGUGUAGCACCUUAAAAGAUAAAAGAAAAUAUAACAAUGUUUCAGAGUUGAAAAAUAUUAUAGGAUUUUCUUUCAUUAAUAUCUUGUUUAUAUUGCAUAAAAAUUAAAAAAAAUUAUUAAUUAACAUUAUAAUUGAUAAAAUAAAAAUUAUUUAAUAAGAAUUAAAAACAUAUUUAUAUAUAAUGGGGAUUGAGGUGGGGGUGGGGUGGGGAGUACAAAACCAAACUCCACCCCAUUAAGAAUUUGGGGAUUAUUUUCCCCCACUCCCCACCCCAUUCCCCAAAAAUUGUGCAAAAUUUUUCCCAUUUGGGGUGGGGCUCCAAACCCGUGGAGGACUUUGCCAUCCCUACUCUGAAGCGCUCAAAGAGCUUAUGAAGCUAAGGCAGUUAAGAAAGUUGAGCAUUAGGCCCCAAAAUGGAAAUGGCAAGGAUCUGUGUGGUUUGAUUGCAAAUUUGAAAAACCUAGAGUCUUUAACGGUCGAAAUGACAAGCAAAGAAGAAAUACUUGACUUGCUGUCUUUGAGUAGUCCUCCUCAAUAUCUGCAGCGUCUCUACUUGACGGGGAAUAUGAAGAAACUGCCGGAUUGGAUUUUUAAACU
rnacentral:lncRNA from 1 species